UACGUAGGGGGCAAGCGUUGUCCGGAUUUAUUGGGCGUAAAGAGCGUGUAGGCGGCCAGACAGGUCUGAUGUGAAAUCUCGAGGCUCAACCUCGAGCGGUCAUUGGAAACCGUCUGGCUAGAGUCCGGAAGAGGAGAGUGGAAUUCCUGGUGUAGCGGUGAAAUGCGCAGAUAUCAGGAAGAACACCUAUGGCGAAGGCAGCUCUCUGGGACGGUACUGACGCUGAGACGCGAAAGCGUGGGGAGCGAACAGG
rnacentral:rRNA from 1 species